UCUUCUUCUUUUCUUUCCCCCAACUUUUCAUUUUCGGUUUUCCCUAACUCUCAUUUUCGCCCUUCUCUUAGCUUCGACCACCUCUAAAGUUCCACCUUUCUCUAUAUCUCUCCUCCAUUACGCGUGCUCGUAGUUCUCCAUUGAAGCGCAUUCUGAGCUUUGUCCAUAUCACUCCUCCACUACGCGUAUUGUUAAUUCUCCAUUAAAGCGGAUUCGAGCUUUCUCACCUCCAUUGAAGUAGCUUUGAGUGGAGCGAACCUGGGUAUGGGAUUUAACCCAGGUAUUGUGGCGAUGCGAAGGUUGGGUAUGGUGAUAAGUUUGAUGAUGAUGAGCCAUGUUGCUGGUUUUCUGGGGAGCUGUGAUGCUGAGCUGCUAUCUUUCUAGGCUGGUUCUUGGUGGUAAUGCAGAUGUGUCUGUUUUCUGUGUAGAUUGUUGUCUUUGUCAGGAAUUGCUAGGAGCUGCUGCUCAUGGAUUUAGAGUCUGUCUCCUUUGACUUUAUGCUCAGCUGGUGUUUUCUGUCUUCCUGUUUUCCUACAGGACUUGCUUGUGUCUGCUCUGUACUGGUUGGGCUGUUGUUUGGGUUCUGAGCAGUAGUGGUGUGGGAUGGUGCUGCUGUUUUGGUGGGCUGCUGGUCUGUUUUUGAUUGGGUGCUGUUUUUUUAUUGUGUGUUUGCUAGAUGUGUGUAGGUGUUAUUUUGGCCUCCUGUGUAUAUGGGCUUGCUGUGUUUUUUGUUUUGUGUUCCUUGUUUUGUGUUUUGUGUUUCCGGGUUUUAUGGAGAAUCUUUUGUCCCUGUCCUUGUUUAAAGUACCCUUCCUCGAGUGUUUAAAGAAUAUCUUACUCGAGUAAAUUCAGCUGUCUCAAUAUAGCAGAGUGAGCAUUUUGAUUCUUAGCUUAAGAGGGAGAGAGAAAAUACCCUAAGCAACAGUACACUCUUAGCUUGGCAUUCAAUGACUAUUCAAACACAACAAUAAAAACCACAAAUUUCAUCAAAAUAAAGCAAAUAAUUCAUGAAUCCAUUAGGGGUUUUAUUUUCAUCCAAAAACUUCUCAAACUGUGUUACCUCAACGGACAAACCGGAGCAAAUCAUAGUGAGAAGUUGUACAAUGAAAGUGAGUCCCUUCAUCAUAUGGAUUAUUCUAGUGUAACUAUUUACGGCCAAGGGACUCAACGCAUUGGUUUGUUAUAUAGGGGUCAGUUAAAAAGGGACAUAGUCAAGGAGUAUAUUCCAAGAAACAUUAAUCAAGGGACAUAAUCAAGGAACAUAUUCCAAGCAACAUUAAACAAUGGACAUAAUUAAGGAACAUAUUCCAAAUAACAUUAAUCAAGGGACAUAUUCCAAAUAACAUCAACAUCAAUAGCAACAACAACAUAUCAAAAUCAUACAUCCCCUGGCCAGCAAAUCAAUCCACAAAGUUUUACUAAGGUAUGGCACACUUAGAAGCAGCUUCACACCAGUCCACACUCAUAUAUACUAUCCAUCAACUAGACAACAACCAAGCUAUUAAUCUUUCAAUUUAGCCACAACAACAAAUUUUAGCGCAUUCAAAGCAGAAACAAAUCAAUGACACUUAAGCAGGCAAAGCAAAUCAAUCGAAACCAAUAACAAACUAAACAAGAAGAAUAAUUGAACCAAACAAACUAAACCAACAACAAACACAACCUCACAACCAUUCAAACAAUCAACACAAAGAAUUCACAAAAUGAAUUACAAUCUAAGGCCACAGAGUAACAUCACAUAAUCCAAGAAACUCAGGCCACACACCAACAUCAAUAGCAACAACAACAUAUCACAAUAAUACAUCCCCUGGCCAGCAACAGAUCACAAUUGUUGGCAACCAUUUAUCAACAAGCAACACACAAUCCUCCAUCAAUAAACACUUGAUAAAUUUGAGCUCAGAUAAUACUUUGUACGGUAUAUAUAAAUAGGGUCAAAUUAUCAUGAAAAUGCACAAAAAUUAUCAAGAGACAUCCUUUACCUCAUCAUCAUCAAACUCAUCACCAUACCCAACCUUCGCAUCGCCACAAUACCCGAGUUAAAUCCCAUACCCAGGUUCGCUCCACUACACAUUAGUAAUUUGAAAGCUCAGAAACACAGAUCUACAUAAUUUCAAGAAAUACUGACAAUUAAAUGUUGUCAAAAUCGACCACCGCAGCCACCCUAACCACCCACGAAACCCCUAAACCCCCCACGAAACUGCCUCCCCAUUGACUACCUAAGCGAAAGUCAAAUCCAGAAAAACCCCAAAGUGAAACCCAAACCCAGAAAACCCAAAUCAAAAUUAAGAGGGUUGCGGUAGUAAACUAACCCUAGUUUACAA